rnacentral:rRNA from 1 species
GCGCAGCAGUCGAGAAACCUCCGCAAUACACGAAAGUGUGACGGGGCCAUCCCGAGUGCCGUCCGCUGAGGACGGCUUUUCCCCAGUGUACACAGCUGGGGGAAUAAGGAGAGGGCAAGCCUGGUGUCAGCCGCCGCGGUAAUACCAGCUCUCCGAGUGGUGGGGACGCUUAUUGGGCCUAAAGCAUCCGUAGCCGGCUGGGCAAGUCCUCCGUUAAAUCCAACGAUUCAAUCGUUGGGCUGCGGGGGAUACUGUCCAGCUUGGGGGCGGGAGAGGCCGACGGUAUUCCCGGGGUAGGGGUGAAAUCCUAUAAUCCCGGGAGGACCACCAGUGGCGAAGGCUGUCGGCUAGAACGCGCCCGACGGUGAGGGAUGAAAGCUGGGGGAGCGAACCGGAUUAGAUACCCCUGUAGU